UACCCUGGCAGAUUCGAACCGCAAUCCCGGUUUAGGAGACCGAUGCCUUAUCCGUUAGGCCAUGAGGGC
rnacentral:tRNA from 13 species